rnacentral:misc_RNA from 1 species
AUAGGCAUCGUCGAGUCUUGGAUUUCUCAUCCUUCGACUCGGCAUCCUGAUCAUUCCUAUGUGCACUUAUCGAAGAAUGCUUUGGUGGGUCUAGCGACCUGCCAAAAGUUUUUUCUAUCGACUUAAUUUCUUGUCUGAUAUAAAAUAUUUAAUGAAAUACAACUUUCAACAACGGAUCUCUUGGCUCUCACAUCGAUGAAGAACGCAGCGAAAUGCGAUACGUAAUGUGAAUUGCAGAAUUUAGUGAAUCAUCGAAUCUUUGAACGCAUAUUGCACUCCUCGGUAUUCCUUGGAGUAUGUCUGUUUCAGUAUCAUAAAGUAAUAUCAAGCCUUUAGGCUUGGAAGUGGGCUUUGUAGAUUUCUACUAGUCUGAAAUUCAUUCGUGGCCGCAUCUUGUCAAAGAUAGAGGCGUCAUAGUUGACUUUCGUCAUCUUUCGCCGACAUUUUGCAAGUGCAUUAGACUACGUUAAAUUUUUCAUCUACUUGAUCUGAAAUCAGAUAAGAUUACCCGCUGAACUUAAGCAUAUCAAUAAGCGGAGGAUA